rnacentral:rRNA from 1 species
UCCGUUUGAUCCCGGCAGAGGUUACUGCUAUCGAGGUUCGACUAAGCCAUGCGAGUCGAAUGUAGCAAUACAUGGCGUACUGCUCAGUAACACGUGGACAACCUACCCUUAGGUCGGGGAUAAACCCGGGAAACUGGGUAUAAUACCCGAUAGUCCUCGAAUGCUGGAAUGCAUCGAGGUCUAAAGCUCCGGCGCCUAAGGAUGGGUCUGCGGCCUAUCAGGUAGUAGUGGGUGUAGCGUACCUACUAGCCUACGACGGGUACGGGUUGUGAGAGCAAGAGCCCGGAGAUGGAUUCUGAGACACGAAUCCAGGCCCUACGGGGUGCAGCAGGCGCGAAAACUUUACAAUGCUGGCAACAGCGAUAAGGGGACCUCGAGUGCCAGGUUACAAAUCUGGCUGUCGUGAUGCCUAAAAAGCAUUGCAUAGCAAGGGCCGGGCAAGACCGGUGCCAGCCGCCGCGGUAACACCGGCGGCUCGAGUGGUAACCGCUAUUAUUGGGUCUAAAGGGUCUGUAGCCGGCCGGAUAAGUCUUUUGGGAAAUCUGGCAGCUUAACUGUCAGGCUUUCAGAGGAUACUGUCAGGCUCGAGGCCGGGAGAGGUGAGAGGUACUCAGGGGUAGGGGGAAAUCUUGUAUCUGAAGGACCACC